AACGAACGCUGGCGGCAUGCCUAACACAUGCCAGUCGAACGAGACCUUCGGGUCUAUUGGCGCACGGGUGCGUAACGCGUGGGAACCUGCCCUUAGGUUCGGAAUAACUCCCCGAAAGGGGUGCUAAUACCGGAUAAUGUCUUCUGACCAAAGAUUUAUCGCCUUUGGAUGGGCCCGCGUUGGAUUAGCUAGUUGUUAGGGUAAAAGCCUACCAAGGCGACGAUCCAUAGCUGGUCUGAGAGGAUGAUCAGCCACACUGGGACUGAGACACGGCCCAGAAUCCUACGGGAGGAAGCAGUGGGGAAUAUUGGAAAAUGGGCGAAAGCAUGAUCCAGCAAUGACGCGUGAGUGAUGAAGGUAUUAGGGUUGUAAAGCUCUUUUACCCGGGAUGAUAAUGACAGUACCGGGAGAAUAAGCUCCGGCUAACUCCGUG
rnacentral:rRNA from 1 species